rnacentral:piRNA from 1 species
AAAGAGAUCCAGGACUUCUUCGAUUGU